GAUGAACGCUGGCGGCGUGCCUAAUACAUGCAAGUCGAACGAUGUCUUCGGACAUAGUGGCGAACGGGUGAGUAACACGUUGGUACCUACCCUCUAGUGGGGAAUAACUGGCCGAAAGGUCGGCUAAUACCGCAUAAUACCGCAAGGUUAAAGCAGUAAUGCGCUAGAGGAGGGGCCUGCGUCCCAUUAGCUUGUUGGUAGUGUAAUGGACUACCAAGGCGACGAUGGGUAGCUGGAUCGAGAGGUUGACCAGCCACACUGGGACUGAGAUACGGCCCAGACUCCUACGGGAGGCAGCAGUAAGGAAUCUUCCACAAUGGACGAAAGUCUGAUGGAGCAACGCCGCGUGCAGGAUGACGGCCUUCGGGUUGUAAACUGCUUUUAUACGGGAAGAUUAUGACGGUACCGUAUGAAUAAGGACCGGCUAACUACGUGCCAGCCGCCGCCGUAA
rnacentral:rRNA from 1 species